rnacentral:lncRNA from 1 species
GCAAAAAUAGGAUGUGCCUGGGAAAUGCAGGCAGUCAUUAAAAUGACUGUGUUUAGUACUACCCUGUAACAAUUUAAGCAGGUUCCUAGUGCUCUAAAUAAAAUUUCAGGUUGAUGUGGCUUGAACUUCAUGGAGUGCUGUCAAAUCGGCCUUCAAAUUUUGCGCACGUCUUCAGUGGUAACCCUUUGUCAGCUAUAGACUUGCUGAAUGUCCUGCCAAGACCACUUGGGAAGAAACCUCCUGCCAGGGGUGUGAUGACAGAGGCAAGGAGGGAGGAGGAGGUGCUGAGGCUGAUGCUGGAGAGAGUGGAGUCUGAACUGAGGGAGGCGACAACCCUGGGACACAGUGUCGCCGCGCUGCUGCGCUCUCUGCGGGACAGACAUGGAUCGAACUUUACAGGGCUCCACAGAGGCUGUAGAGGAAGCAUUUGACUGUGAGGCGCUUGUCCAGACAGAGGCACUGCUGGGUGAACGUGUGACUGGGGGGGUUGUCCAAGCGUGGAGCAGGAUUCAAAAGAAACUUCAGCAGUUCAUCUCUCGGGGUAUUUUGAUGCCGUCUGAAAGGUAAUGCAUUCAGUUUGGCUCUAAGUAACAGCAACAAUGAAACACUGUAUGCGUGUCUGUGUUUUGUGCGAGAGAAGGCCUGUCCUCUAGUGCCGUGGGGACCGAUCAAGAGAAGCUACUGGCUCAGCUGGAGGCCGAACUGGAACAAAACAAGCAGCUGGUCAGAAUGCAGCAAGAGCUCUUGGAGGUAAACUCUGUCUGGAAACCUGUGGCCCCAAGAGAUGGAAAUCACUCAGAUCUUAUUUUCAUACAAUGCUCUUCUCAGCUCAGACACAGAGCAUGAAAGACUAGAUAUAUGCAGAAAAAGCGAUGAGGCCGAGUUGGACAUAUGGCUGAGUUGGACGAGUAGGCUAUCUGGCAGCUGAGGAGAGGAAAACAGACUCUCAACUAUUAGGAGGGGGAGAAGAAUAAACCACUGGGGGUCCACUUGCCUGGGUUUUUU